rnacentral:rRNA from 1 species
CGGAUAAGAGGCUGAAACUCGCCUCUUUGAAGUCGGAAUCGCUAGUAAUCGCAGAUCAGCAUGUUGCGGUGAAUACGUUUCCUGGUCUUGUACACACCGCCCGUCAAACCAUGAGAGUCGCCAACACCCGAAGUCCGCUUUGCGGCCUAAGGUGGGGGAGAUGAUUGGGGUUAAGUCGUAACAAGGUACC